GACGAACGCUGGCGGCGUGCCUAACACAUGCAAGUCGAGCGAGGUUGCGGAUGGGUGCUUGCACCCUGAAGCUACCUAGCGGCGGACGGGUGAGUAACGCGUGAGUAACCUGCCUUAUACAGGGGGAUAACAACGAGAAAUCGUUGCUAAUACCGCAUAAGACCACGGUAUCGCAUGGUACAGGGGUAAAAGGAGCAAUCCGGUAUAAGAUGGACUCGCGUCCCAUUAGCUAGUUGGUGAGAUAACAGCCCACCAAGGCAACGAUGGGUAGCCGACCUGAGAGGGUGAUCGGCCACACUGGGACUGAGACACGGCCCAGACUCCUACGGGAGGCAGCAGUGGGGAAUAUUGGGCAAUGGGCGAAAGCCUGACCCAGCAACGCCGCGUGAAGGAAGAAGGUCUUCGGAUUGUAAACCUCUGUCGUCAGGGACGAAAAAGGACGGUACCUGGCAAGAAAGCCCCGGCUAACUACGUG
rnacentral:rRNA from 1 species